rnacentral:sRNA from 1 species
AGGGUCGGACGGUAUAUUUGAUCGAUAAAUCCGCGGUCACACUGAUCUCAAUUGCGGAACAUAAGGCCGUUUUGAAGCCCAACUGUGGCCCACAACUCCGCCCUGCCUCAGCCAGACCACCAGAUCGGCCAGGUGGAUCUUAGCCGACCAGAUCUUAGCCCGAAUCUGAAGAAAACCAAGCUGGAUGAGGCCUCGACGGCGGGGUUGAUGCAAGCACAUAAACGGAUCAGGGCGUGGUGUCUAUGAUGAGCUUCCAUCUGCGUCGCAAAAAGGGACUGGAACAAACCCUGGCGGCCAAGCUUACACCAAAGGCGUACGUCAAGGAGACUCAUGCCGUGCCCGGGCUGCCGGAGCUGCUGGAUCCUGCAUUCCCAACAAGACACGUCUGGACAGAUUAUGCGCCACUACGGCAGUGCAAGGGCAUCCGCCAGUUGCAGGCUUUGUACGUGUCCCACCUGCACGCGGAUCAUCACAUUGGAUUGAUUGGACUGCUGAAGGAGCGCAGAUAGCUGGCCCCGAAGGAAACUCGCUGCUCUUACUUGCGCCGCGGCAGAUCGAGCCAUGGAUGGAGUUCUAACAAGGAUAGCUCUUGGCGAGACUCCUGACUGGAGAGGCAGUGGCACCAUUGGGCAUAACUGCCGCCACUGCCAAGUCACCAGUAGGAACUGCCAAGCCGCCAGUGCGAACAGCUGCUUAAAAUCUUGCGAGACGCUUGGCGAUGCUGUGGAUGAUCGAGUUCAGCCCAACAAUCAACCUUUGCGGAAUGAGAGGAGCAGCAGCAAGGCAAGAAGUUCGGCUAACUCGUCGCAGUCCUCGGUGGGCAUUGAUGACUAUUGGGAUGAGGCUCUGGUCGGCGACUAUGGAAGCACUCAGAAUGAUGACAGCGAUGACUUGGAUGGUCACAACAACUAGCCACCUAUCGAUGGGCAGCAAGGAAAAGAACCCGGCCGUAACGAGUUGCGUUACUAUUGGCGAUCAAGAGAUCAUAGACUGCAAAGAACAAUUCGACAAGCAGCGGCAGGCAACAUUACUUGGGCCGAGCAGGGCAGUAAAUGUAAAAGUUGUUCUGCACUAUCUUAAAAGCGUGCUCCGGCGGUCUUAAGCCUUCUGCACCAUGUUUUACAUCAUCGGUUUCGACCGGGAGCGCAGACAACUGGCUCCAAAGGAAACUCGCUGCUCAUACUUGCACCGCGGCAGAUUGAGCCAUGGAUGGAGUUCUAACACGGAUAGCUCUUGGCGAGACUCCUGACUGGAGAGGCAGUAACUUUGGGCAUAACUGCCGCCACUACCAAGUCACCAGUACGAACUGCCAAGCCGCCAGUACGAACAGCUGCUUAAAAUCUUGCGAGGCGUUUGGCGAUGCUGUGGAUGAUCGAGUUCAGCCCAACAAUCAACCGUUGCGGAAUGAGAGGAGCAGCAGCAAGGCAAGAAGGAUGCCGAUCAGGAUUUUUACUAAAACCAGGAGAGUUCGGCUAACUCGUCGCAGUCCUCGGUGGGCAUUGAUGACUAUUGGGAUGAAGCUCUGGUUGGCGACUAUGGAAGCACUCAGAAUGAUGACAGCGAUGACUUGGACGGGCACAACAACUAGCCACCUAUCGAUGGGCAGCAAGGAAAAGAACCCGGCCGCAACGAGUUGCGUUACUAUUGGCGAUCAUGAGGUCAUGGACUGCAAAGAACAAUUCGACAAGCAGCAACAUUACUUGGGCCGAGCAGGGCAGUAAAUGUAAAAGUUGUACAGCACUAUCUUUAAAGCGUGCUCCGGCGGUCUUAAGCCUUCUGCACCAUGUUUUACAUCAUCGGUUUCGACCGGGAGCGCAGACAGCUGGCCCCGAAGGAAACUCGCUGCUCUUACUUGCGCCGCGGCAGAUCGAGCCAUGGAUGGAGUUCUAACACGGAUAGCUCUUGGCGAGACUCCUGACUGCAGAGGCAGUGGCACCAUUGGGCGUAACUGCCGCCACUGCCAAGUCACCAGUAGGAACUGCGAAGCCGCCAGUACGAACAGCUGCUUAAAAUCUUGCGAGACGCUUGGCGAUGCUGUGGAUGAUCAAGUUCAGCCCAACAAUCAACAGUUGCGGAAUGAGAGGAGCAGCAACAGGACAAGAAGGAUGCCGAUCAGGAUUUCUACUAAAACCAGGACAGUUCGGCUAACUCGUCGCAGUCCUCGGUGGGCAUUGAUGACUAUUGGGAUGAAGCUCUGGUCGGCGACUAUGGAAGCACUCAGAAUGAUGACAGCGAUGACUUGGACGGGCACAACAACUAGCCACCUAUCGAUGGGCAGCAAGGAGAAGAACCCGGCCGCAACGAGUUGCGUUACUAUUGGCGAUCAUGAGGUCAUGGACUGCAAAGAACAAUUCGACAAGCAGCAACAUUACUUGGGCCGAGCAGGGCAGUAAAUGUGAAAGUUGUACAGCACUAUCUUAAAAGCGUGCUCCGGCGGUCUUAAGCCUUCUGCACCAUGUUUUACAUCAUCGGUUUCGACCGGAUCCAGUGGCCUAAAAAGUGCUAUAGAGCGAUCCUCUCUUACCCCACCAGGAGGUCACCCCCUCCGGUGGCCAUGAAUACCUUUUGCAUGACCGCGAAUACCGAAUUACCCACCAUCGUUUAACUGGGGCUUCACACUUCAGGUCCUCCGGUUUAGCUGAACGAGUGGGCGCUCGAUGGCGGCUGUCCACUCCAGGCGCCUACCGGCUGACAUCGCGAGCUCCCCACCGGCUCUUGGGACAUGACUUACAUCGCGCGAGCUGUGGCCUCUAGCCUGGACGACCUUUGGGUCCUCUCGGGAUGUGUAAGGGAUGUGCUCCUGGCUGGACUGUGGCAGGCACUGUCUGUCCUCCUGCGGGCCAAAGCCAUGAUGCCACUACUGUGUCGCUGAAUCGACAAUGUGGCGUCCCGUCCGCUGCAGCAGGGACCACUGAUCGACUUCAGAAUUGUGGGUUCACGCCCACGGUAAUCAAACGCUGGUCUUCAGCCUCGAGGCGCAGGGCUUAUGUACCAUAUCCAAGCAUUGCCGAAUCGUAUCCCAGCAGGACAAAAGCGCACCCCUUGGAAGAGCCCAAAUCUAACAAGCCGACGUCACAUUUCGACCUGGCCAUUGAAAACUAUCUCAAGGACUUUGGCUAUGGCAACCAAGGGAGGGAUACGCGGACUACCAGACUAUAGAUAGAUCUCGUUGUUAAUAGGUUUAAGGAUACACACGUCUGUACAUUUAGAUAGUAGAUAUAAAUAUUUCCAAAUUGUUAAUUUCUUUAUAGUAAGUUAACGUUAUUAUGAAUAAAACUAUUGAAAAAUUA